rfam:Pseudomonas syringae strain GAW0119 contig23.1, whole genome shotgun sequence.
GGGUGCGUUGUUGCAUAGGGCACUGCGCAGGUUAAAUUCCAACGUUGGUCGGGCCGCCAUCG